AUGCCCAGGAGGUUCGGUUCCUCCUCCCACUCCUCCUCCCGUUCUUCUUCCCACUCCUCCGGCUCGCCGACGUUGCUCGGCGUCAAGGCCGAGCCCGCAGCGGAGACGCCGCUCGGCCGGCGCACUUGCAGCGCCGACAUCGUCAUAAACGAGGGCGGUCGGCGCGCCUCCUCGUCGGCUCCUCCGCUUUUUGUCAAACCAAAGAUGGAGCCGGGGCUCGCGGCCGUGAAAACGGAGGCAGGGCUCCCUGCCGUGAAGACGGAGCAUGGCGUGGAGCUCAACAAGGAGGUGGCCCUGAAAUGGGCGCGCGACAACUAUCUCAAGGUGGAGAUGGAGCGCCAGUGCGCCGCCGGGGCCGCGACUAAGGAGGCGUCCUCGUCCUCGACGACAGCGACGUCGACGACGCGCCGCCACCGCCACCGGUCCGCCAUGGCGACGCCGGGCAGAGGUCCAGAAGGGGCGGCCGCGUUAAGGAGGAGAAGGCUGCCGCCGCCGCCGCCGCCGACGAGGAUGGCAGCGACUACUUCGCGUUCAGCGACUUCUUUGCCCCUUAGUUUCGGCCUUUCUUUUAGAUAA
rnacentral:rRNA from 1 species